rnacentral:rRNA from 1 species
GCCCUUUUCCGGGUUGAUCCUGCCGGAGUUACUGCUAUCCGGGUCCGAUUAAGCCAUGCGAGUUGAGAGGGGGUAAGCCCUCGGCAUACUGCUCAGUAACACGCGGGCAACCUGCCCUUGGUCUGGGAUAACCCCGGGAAACUGGGACUAAUACGGAUAGAUCAGAGAUACUGGAAUGUUCUCUGGUCCAAAACUCCGUGCCCAGGAUGGUCUGCGGCCUAUCAGGUAGUAGUGGGUGUAACGUACCUACUAGCCAGCGACGGGUAAGGGUUUGGAGAGCAAGAUCCCUGAGAUGGAUUCUGAGACAUGAUCCAGCCCCUACGGGUGGCAGCAGGCGCGAAAACUUUUAACUUGCGGAAAACCGCGUAAGGGGGACCCCGAGUGCCCAGCACCUAGUGCUGGUUGUCCCUACUGGUCUAAAUUAACAGUGGUUAAGCAAGGGSCCGGCCAAGACCGGUGCCAGCCGGCCGCGGGUAACCCCGGCGGCCCGAGAGGUAACCGUCAUUAUUGGGUUUAAAGGGUCCGUAGCCGGCUUAUUAAGUCUUUUGGGAAAUCUGGCGACUCAAUCGUCAGGCGUCCAAGAGAUACUGGUAGGCUUGGGACCGGGAGAGGUGGGAGGUACUCCAGGGGUAGGGGUGAAAUCUCGUAAUCCUUGGGGGACCACCGAUGGCGAAGGCAUCCCACCAGAACGGGUCCGACGGUGAGGGACGAAAGCUGGGGGCACGAACCGGAUUAGAUACCCGGGUAGUCCCAGCUGUAAACGAUGCUCGCUAGGUGUCAGGUGCGGUGCGACCGCAUCUGGUGCCGCAGUGAAAACUUGAAGCGAGUCACCUGGGAAGUACGGUCGCAAGGCUGAAACUUAAAGGAAUUGGCGGGAAGGGC